UGGGGAAUAUUGCACAAUGGGCGCAAGCCUGAUGCAGCCAUGCCGCGUGUGUGAAGAAGGCCUUCGGGUUGUAAAGCACUUUCAGCGGGGAGGAAGGCGUUAAGGUUAAUAACCUUGGCGAUUGACGUUACCCGCAGAAGAAGCACUGGCUAACUCCGUGCCAGCAGCCGCGGUAAUACGGAGGGUGCAAGCGUUAAUCGGAAUUACUGGGCGUAAAGCGCACGCAGGCGGUCUGUCAAGUCGGAUGUGAAAUCCCCGGGCUCAACCUGGGAACUGCAUUCGAAACUGGCAGGCUAGAGUCUUGUAGAGGGGGGUAGAAUUCCAGGUGUAGCGGUGAAAUGCGUAGAGAUCUGGAGGAAUACCGGUGGCGAAGGCGGCCCCCUGGACAAAGACUGACGCUCAGGUGCGAAAGCGUGGGGAGCAAACAGG
rnacentral:rRNA from 1 species